rnacentral:rRNA from 1 species
UACGGAGGGUGCAAGCAUUAAUCGGAUUUACUGGGCGUAAAGGGCGCGUAGGCGGAUCUAUAAGUCAGACGUGAAAUUCCGGAGCUCAACUUCGGAGCUGCGUUUGAAACUGUAGGUCUAUAGAGGGUUGGCGGAGAGAACGGAAUUCCACGUGUAGCGGUGAAAUGCGUAGAUAUGUGGAGGAACACCGGUGGCGAAGGCGGUUCUCUAGCUUCCACCUGACGCUGAGGCGCGAGAGCAAGGGGAGCAAACAGG